rnacentral:misc_RNA from 2 species
UCGUAACAAGGUUUCCGUAGGUGAACCUGCGGAAGGAUCAUUACCGAGUGAGGGCCCUUUGGGUCCAACCUCCCACCCGUGUUUAUUUUACCUUGUUGCUUCGGCGGGCCCGCCUUUACUGGCCGCCGGGGGGCUCACGCCCCCGGGCCCGCGCCCGCCGAAGACACCCUCGAACUCUGUCUGAAGAUUGAAGUCUGAGUGAAAAUAUAAAUUAUUUAAAACUUUCAACAACGGAUCUCUUGGUUCCGGCAUCGAUGAAGAACGCAGCGAAAUGCGAUACGUAAUGUGAAUUGCAAAUUCAGUGAAUCAUCGAGUCUUUGAACGCACAUUGCGCCCCCUGGUAUUCCGGGGGGCAUGCCUGUCCGAGCGUCAUUGCUGCCCUCAAGCCCGGCUUGUGUGUUGGGCCCCGUCCUCCGAUUCCGGGGGACGGGCCCGAAAGGCAGCGGCGGCACCGCGUCCGGUCCUCGAGCGUAUGGGGCUUUGUCACCCGCUCUGUAGGCCCGGCCGGCGCUUGCCGAUCAACCCAAAUUUUUAUCCAGGUUGACCUCGGAUCAGGUAGGGAUACCCGCUGAACCUAAGCAUAUCA